AUGUCGCGAGGCCAUCACGUGACCACAAUAUUUACCAGAAGACCGUUAUUUGCUCGAGUUCCCUCAACUUUUUUGUCGCAAAUAACAUUAUUAAUAACCUGUAAAUAAUAAAAUUUGUACACAUUACGUUCCUCUUCACGUUGUAAUAGUAUGUUUUUGGUUUAAUAGUCGGCUUUAAGUUAGUUUUUCUGUCAGUUUGAUCGUCAAAAUCUUGAAAGUUAUCUACAGCCACACAUCCACUGUAUACCAAGUUAUGAUGAUCAAUUAUGAGAAUGCAAAAUGAUUUAUAGAUCAGUAAACAAUCAACAAAAAGAUGGGUGCUCAUGGUGGCCUCCAAAUAAAUACAUGGACAGGCUGCUAAAGAGGGUCAGGAUGAUGGAGAUGCAAGAGCCAAAGACAGCACGGACCAAACACCAGGCCAGAAUUCUGCAUGAGUCAGCUGUAAAAAACAAAAGAAUGAAACAGUACCUGCAUUUUAGUUUCCAGCCUUUUUCACAAAGUUGCCGACAACUGGAAGAAUGUCCCAAAUUGCUGAAAAAAGAAAUUCAAUUGAGUAAUUUUCACUCUAGAGACCCUGGGGUGACCACCAAGGACGAAUGCAAACUCCAGUGAGUGUCUCUAAGGUAGAUCCUUAUGCAGAUGGAUGGAAUGUUGAUCCGCCUAACAUGCAAGAUUUUCUGUACCGAGAACUUUGGAUGACCAUCAAGACAAGCACUCGUUUUGAGUCCUGAGACCCUGGGGUGACCACCGUGAACAAAUACAGACUGCAAAAAGGCAGUCUUGACGGUUCUAGGAUGAAUGCAAAUAAAGACUGACCACCUGACUUCAGCGGUCCAGUCUCUUGUGGGAAGCAGGUGUUUGUUACCCCAAAUACGGAUGAAGAGUGACGAAGAGGAUAAUGACUUUUUUCUCAAACAUCAUCUGAAGAUCUUGACAGGCUGGAGACAAAAUUAACAGACUGAGGGUUUAUACAAAGAAUCUUACUCAGCCAAUAUUAAAGAUAAGAUAUUUUUUACAAAAUGUUCUUUUCAUUGUUUAGGAUGAUUUUAUGUAGAAAACAAUACAUCACAAAAAAGACUUUAGCUGGGUUUUCACAGGCAGGGCCUUACACACACACUAACCACAAUUAUAAACGCAACACUAACACAGAUUUAGACAGAUUUGUGAAUAAUAUUUGAGAGAAAUAGGCCUUUUGGGGACAUAGAAAAUAUUUAAGUUCAGCUCAUGAAAUGAAAAAUGGGGGCAAAAACAAUUUUUAACAAGUGCAAUACAAAUAUCAACCAUAAUACUGAUCGUUUUAAAAAAGUAAGCCACUAUAUCUUUCUAGAAUCUUACACAAGACUCAGUUACAUGAACGAUCAAAAUAAAUUAACGUCAGACAGGUGGGCGAAAUAUCAAUAUUAAAGCAUGAAUAACUGUUAUCAACCCAAUUUCAAGGUAUUAUUUAAAUGAUCCCACACCAAACAGUUUAUUAUUUAAAUGCAUUAUUACUACAUACCUUAAGCAAA